GUCUAAUACCGGAUUCCACUCCUGCCUGCAUGGGCGGGGGUUGAAAGCUCCGGCGGUGAAGGAUGAGCCCGCGGCCUAUCAUAUUGUUGGUGGGGUAAUGGCCCACCAAGGCGACGACGGGUAGCCGGCCUGAGAGGGCGACCGGCCACACUGGGACUGAGACACGGCCCAGACUCCUACGGGAGGCAGCAGUGGGGAAUAUUGCACAAUGGGCGAAAGCCUGAUGCAGCGACGCCGCGUGAGGGAUGACGGCCUUCGGGUUGUAAACCUCUUUCAGCAGGGAAGAAGCGAAAGUGACGGUACCUGCAGAAGAAGCGCCGGCUAACUACGUGCCAGCAGCCGCGGUAAUACGUAGGGCGCAAGCGUUGUCCGGAAUUAUUGGGCGUAAAGAGCUCGUAGGCGGCUUGUCACGUCGGAUGUGAAAGCCCGAGGCUUAACCUCGGGUCUGCAUUCGAUACGGGCUAGCUAGAGUGUGGUAGGGGAGAUCGGAAUUCCUGGUGUAGCGGUGAAAUGCGCAGAUAUCAGGAGGAACACCGGUGGCGAAGGCGGAUCUCUGGGCCAUUACUGACGCUGAGGAGCGAAAGCGUGGGGAGCGAACAGGAUUAGAUACCCUGGUAGUCCACGCCGUAAACGUUGGGAACUAGGUGUUGGCGACAUUCCACGUCGUCGUGCCGCAGCUAACGCAUUAAGUUCUCCGCCUGG
rnacentral:rRNA from 1 species